rnacentral:tRNA from 1 species
UUUUAAGUUUAUUUAAAAAAUAAUUUUGCAAAUUAUUAUGUUUCUUAAAGU